GACGAACGCUGGCGGCGUGCUUAACACAUGCAAGUCGAACGGAAAGGCCUCUUUCGGGGGGUACUCGAGUGGCGAACGGGUGAGUAACACGUGAGUAACCUGCCCUUGACUUUGGGUUAACUCCGGAAAAUGGGGGUUAUAACCGAAAAGAGGCUCUGCUGCAUGGUGGGGGGUGGGAAAGUUUCGGCGGUUGGGGAUGGCCUUGCGGCUUUUCAGCUUGUUGGUGGGGUAUUGGCUUACCAAGGCUUUGACGGGUAGCCGGCCUGGGAGGGUGACCGGCCACAUUGGGACUGAGAUACGGCCCAGACUCCUACGGGAGGCAGCAGGGGGGAAUAUUGCACAAUGGGUGGAAGCCUGAUGCAGCAACGCCGUGUGCGGGAUGACGGCCUUCGGGUUGUAAACCGCUUUCGCUCAUGACGAAGCUUUGUGUGACGGUAGUGGGUAAAGAAGCACCGGCUAACUACGUG
rnacentral:rRNA from 1 species